rnacentral:rRNA from 1 species
CAUGCAAGUCGAACGGCACCGGGGGUGCUUGCACCUGCCGGCGAGUGGCGAACGGGUGAGUAAUGCAUCGGAACGUACCCAGUCGUGGGGAUAACGCAGCGAAAGCUGUGCUAAUACCGCAUACGUCCUGAGGGAGAAAGCAGGGGAUCUUCGGACCUUGUGCGAUUGGAGCGGCCGAUGUCAGAUUAGCUAGUUGGUGAGGUAAAAGCUCACCAAGGCGACGAUCUGUAGCUGGUCUGAGAGGAUGAUCAGCCACACUGGAACUGAGACACGGUCCAGACUCCUACGGGAGGCAGCAGUGGGGAGUUUUGGACAAUGGGGGCAACCCUGAUCCAGCCAUGCCGCGUGAGUGAAGAAGGCCUUCGGGUUGUAAAGCUCUUUCGGCCGGGAAGAAAUCGUGCAGGCUAAUACCCUGUAUGGAUGACGGUACCGGAAUAAGAAGCACCGGCUAACUACGUGCCAGCAGCCGCGGUAAUACGUAGGGUGCGAGCGUUAAUCGGAAUUACUGGGCGUAAAGCGUGCGCAGGCGGUUUUGUAAGACAGGCGUGAAAUCCCCCGGGCUCAACCUGGGAACUGCGCUUGUGACUGCAAGACUAGAGU